UCCAACUCAUCGGGGAGCAAACCCAUCAGGUAUUGACCUUAUCAAUGCCAAGGGGCGCUGAGACCUAAUUGUUUAACAUUGUUGAGCAGGCAGGGACCCGUAUUACCUGAACCAGAUAAUGCUGGCGUAGGAAUUGAGUCUGGAUAUUGG
rnacentral:misc_RNA from 1 species